GACGAACGCUGGCGGCGUGCUUAACACAUGCAAGUCGAACGGUGACCCAGGGCUUGCCCUGGUGAUCAGUGGCGAACGGGUGAGUAACACGUGGGCAACCUGCCCCUGACUUCGGGAUAACUCCUCGAAAGAGGAGCUAAUACCGGAUACGACCACUUCGGACAUCCGAUGGUGGUGGAAAGUUUUUCGGUCAGGGAUGGGCCCGCGGCCUAUCAGCUAGUUGGUGGGGUAAUGGCCUACCAAGGCGACGACGGGUAGCCGGCCUGAGAGGGCGACCGGCCACACUGGGACUGAGACACGGCCCAGACUCCUACGGGAGGCAGCAGUGGGGAAUAUUGCGCAAUGGGCGAAAGCCUGACGCAGCGACGCCGCGUGAGGGAUGAAGGCCUCGGUUGUAACGUACUUCUAGCAGGACGAAGCGAAAGUAGACGGUACCGUCGCAGAAGAAGAC
rnacentral:rRNA from 1 species